AAAAUAAAGCUAUUUUCAUUGCUCAAAAACAUCUUUUUUUCCCUUCUUAAUACUCUUUUACACUUCUCUUCCAUGGAGGGAGAAGGAAUGAGUAGAAAUUUCCUUUAUGCAAAUAAAUACCAAAGGAAUCAUCACCUUCCCUUUUCCAUUCUUAACCCAAAGCCGCACACCUUACCCAUAUAUAGAACUUUAUGGGAUCAAAAAUAUUUUUCUCAACCUAAAACUCUGACCAAUUUGAAGAACAAAGCAACUCUUGUUCCAAUAAAUCCUUAUUUUAUUUCAUCUUCAUCAAGUAGUCGUGCAAUCCAUGGCCAUCUAGGAGAAGAAGGAGGGCUAUUCCCAUGGCCAACUACUCUACCUCCUUCUCAUGACACAAAUAGAUUUAUCAAUGGGGUGGUUUUCUUCAAUGAAGAAAGUACUCCAAACUUAAGUCAAGAAAGGAAUCUCAAAGGUGGGUUUGGAGAGGAAGAAAAUGUGGCAUCGAGAAUACCUAGAGGAACAGGAAGGAGAGAAAAAGGUGGCUUUUCUGUUGCUUUAAUCAAAGGCCUAUGGACUGAAGAGGAAGACAAGUAAAAUCAUGGAAUACCCCUUUAGUCUCUUUUGUUUUUAUUGUUACUUUUAUCUAUUCCCUUUCUAUGGCAACGGCGCGGGGUUCGGGUGGGGAACCCCUCCCCCAUCCCCUGCCCCGGUGCCUACAAACUCCCCCCUCCCCCACCCCAUCCCUCGUCCCCCACUCCCCCCGCCCCGCCCCGCUUCUCCCGCGGGUGCCCCUGUGGGGCUAAUAAAAAUUUGUUAUAUAAUUUUAUUAUGGUUAAAUUUUAGCAAAUAAUCAAGUACUAAAAUAUCAACAUAUCAUCAAAUUAUUAUUUAUUGUAAUUUUACAAUUGAAACUUAUAAAAAAAAUCAAACAAAAAUUAUUUGAAUAUAAUCCAACAUGAUAAAAUAAAUAUAACUAAAAUAGUCAAGUUUUCACUUUUGACACAAAUACAAUCACCAAUUUAUUAUUAUGCUUGUGCUUUUUUUAAGAAAAAAUAUUAUUGUAUUAAGUGUAAUUAGGGAUUUAGUAUAAAUGUAUUAGUAAAUUUGGUAUAACCAAUUAAUAAUUUGUAUUAGUACACAUAUAUAAUUAUUAGUAUAAUUAAUAAUAUCAAUUAUAUUAUAUAUACUAAUAGACAUUAUAUAAUACAUAUAACUAAUAAUAUCAUUAUCAUAAGUUUGUAACUAAUUAAAUUAUAUAUUAUAUAUAUAAUUAUAUAUAUAUAUUUUAUAUAUUUAUUUUUUUAAAGCAGGUGGCACGGCGGGGGAUGAGUGGGGGGGAAAAAAUUCCCCCUGCUCCCGCCCCACCCCCAGCCCCAACCCCCUCCCCAUUCGUCCCCCACAGGGCGGGUGCCCGCGGUCACCCGCCUCCAUUGCCAUCCCUAGAUCUUUAUCUUAUUUAUAACAUGCAAAAUUAGUUUUAUGCUGAAAGCAUUGGCUAAUUUGUUAGCUUCCUAAUUUCCUUUUUUGUUGUUAUGCAGUACACUAAGAAGGCUAGUGAAGCAUUUUGGAGUGAAAAAAUGGGCAGAGAAAAUGGUGGGAAGGACUGGUAAGCAAUGCCGAGAGAGAUGGCAUAACCAUUUGCGUCCCAAUAUUAAGGUUUUUUCAACUUACAUAUUUUAUACCUUUUUAUCAUUUUUUAGAGCCAUCUUUUGUCACUUGAUAGCUAAAACUUGAUUUUCCAUGAUGUUUGAUAUUAUCUUGGUCCCUUAGUCGUUCUUUCACAUGAUUCGAUUGUUUAUUUUCCAUCUUCUGCCUUUCCUUUGCCAAGUAAGGUUCAUAAUUUUAAUAGAAAGCAGUAAUGGAUCUAAGAACUUGGAUUCUCUGUAGAUUUGGUGCUAAAUAUUUUCCAAGGUUUGUCUAUGAGAACCCCCCCCCCCAAAAAUUUUGAUUAUGUUAUUUUUCUACUUUCUUUUUUCUUUUUUGGAAAAAUAAUAUUCUCCCAAUUUCCUUAUAAGUAGAUUUACAAAUUAAAAUUUUGAUUAAUGAUGUUUCCAAAACAAACGUAAUUAUUUGUUCAAUUUUUGGAUAUUGUUUACAUCUUUAUCAUCUAUCACUCACAUUUAGUAUGUACAAUAAUUCAUCAUCAAUAUUAUAGUUUGGGGUUUUGCUUGAAAUCAAGACUAUAAACAUACAUAUGGCCAGUUGUUGGUGUCCAAGAUUUUUACUUUUUUUUCAAUCUAUAGGGAUAGCAUCAUUUGUCUUUGAAAUAUGAUUUUUUUAUGUAAAUAAAUGUAUAUAGUUUUCUACCAUUAUUUUUCUUUUGGGAUUUUCUUAAUUUUUUAAAUCAGCAUUUUAACAUGUUAACUUGCUAGGGAGGUAUAUUCUAUUGCAUUUUGUCAUAUUUGUCACCUUUCUCAUAUUGUUCGAGCCCAUAUUUCAUGUGAUAGGAGAAACUCUUUUUUUGACAAAGGAAUCAUGAUUUGUUAUGAAAGAUUUUUGUCUAUGACAAAGGAAUCAUGAUUUUUUUAAUGCAAUAUUGAUUUUUUCUUAUAAUAUUUCUACACUUGUACUAGUCUAAUGUUCAACAUUUGUUGUUUGUAAAUAUUUAUCUCAUUUUAGAAGGACACUUGGAGUCCGGAGGAAGAGAGACUGUUGGUGGAAACUCAUAUGCAGGUUGGAAAUAGAUGGGCAGAAAUUGCCAAAAGAAUUCCAGGAAGGGCCGUGAACUCCAUAAAGAAUCACUGGAAUACCACAAAAAGGAGACAAAAUUCAAGGGGAAAGGUCAAGAAACCGGAAAGGGUGCAGAACGAAAGAAAUCAGUCAACUAUUUUGCAAGAGUAUAUCAAAAGUACUUAUCCCAAUAAUAAUUCCUUAACCACCAUUAGCGUAGACCUCAGCUCUACCAUCGUGAUACCAACCAAUAGUGCAACCACUUGCCCAACUUUUCCCAAUUCCAUCAUAUCAGAGGACCCCUCAUCAACUCAUUUCAAUCUGCUUUAUCCAGAAUUAUCUCAAUCCACCACUGAUGAUUCCCUUUUCUAUCUCACUCAACACUCUUAUGAUGAUGAGAUAAACUUUAUGCAAAACUUACUUGGAAACAAUAAUCUCAACGCCUUCUUAGUUGGUGAGAAUGAUAAAGGAAAGGCUCUUCUAGACAUUGGGAUCGAUCCAAAAGGCAAGUGUUCUAUUUCGUUUAACCCUUUUAGAUAUAGCAGCUCUAAUGAUAAUAAUCAGAAUUUUGAUAAAAAUUGGAAUUAUGGGCUUUAUUCAUCUUAUAUUGAAUAAAACUUGUUGACCAAAUCCUUUUUAGGUGAUCAAGAGAAUAAUCAAUCUGCACAUAUAAUGGAUGAAGGUAAUGCCUUAACUGCUCCUCCUGAGAUCUACCCCAGCAACAUGAACAUGAAGACAAUAACAAUGGAUCAAACCAGUCCUUCAUCAAGAAAGGAGGUUGACUUGUAGAGAUGGUCUCAAAUUCACAAUUUUCUCGCAAGAAUGUUGCUAAUAGCUUUGUGUUCUAAUAUUGAUUUAGUGAAGUGAUACUCAGUUUUUAGUUUCCUAAAGAACUUUUGGAGUUUUACAAGCUUUUAACUAAUAAUUAGAACCAAAAUUUGAGCACCUCUAGUUUAGUUCUAAUUUCGGUUAGAAUUGGCAUAUUCUGGGUAAUUUGCUCAAGAGUUGUCAAAAAAAUUGUGACUAGUGGCAAUUAUGUUUUAUUAUAUGAAUGAUUUUCUUGUUUUUAUUCUUGAAUCUUGUAAUAUUUUGCUCUCUAGGUGUUAGUUUUGUGGUUUCAGUUACAUGCAUGGGCAUUAUCUUUUUUUUCUUGAAUCAGUGUAUCCUUCUUUUAUAUUUUUCAAUUUUCUAUUGUUUCUGCCAUCCUACUUUCUCAAAUGGCUAGUGUCCUUCUCUGGGUUCUAGUUGAUAAAAGUUUUGUUUCCCUAUAAAAUAGAAAAGUACAAUACUAAAGAAUGUUCCGCAAUCAUCCAUUAAUCCUUGCAUUCUGCAAAGUAUUGUUUGUAUGGUGAUGAAAGCAUCAGUAAAGUCAAAGACAAAAAAUACUUACUAUUUUUUUUGUGUCUCAACAUAGUUCCAUCAUGUUGUGAUACUAGAAUGGACUACAAAAAAGGACACUUCUAAUAAUGGUAGAUUAGUACUACAAGUGUUAUUAGAUACUUUGUGAUGGUUUGCUACAAAAACCAAUGUCUAUUCUUAGGAUUAUUAAAAUUUUGAAUCUUUUUUAAAAUUAAUAUAAACAGUCUUAAAUGGUUAAUUUUAACUAUAUAUUAUCAUCAUUACUAUAAUGAUAGUUAAUGAUUUCUCAAUAAUUUGGACGAUGGCAGUUUGAAUAUCAAACCUUUGUCGACGUAAAAAAAUUGAUAGGCUAACAAAUGUGUUAAUUAGCUCCCAUCUCAAAAUACUAAUCAAUUCGUUCCACGAAUAAUGGUGAAACUCAAAAAGCUUUUUUCAACCUAUUUUGAUAGCAAUGGGAGAAAAUACAUUUGUGUCAACUUGUUUUAGGAUAAAUAAAAUUCUAAAACUUUUGAAAAUUAAUACUAAUAGUAGUAAAUGGUUAAUUUUAGCAGUAUAUUAUUACCAUUACUUUAACAAUAAUUAACAAUUUCUCAAUAAUUAAAAUGAUGUUAUAUUGAAUGCCAAAGCUUCAUAGACAUAAAAAAAUUUUGGUAGCAUAAUAAAUUAAUCAACACUAUCUCUUAAAAAAAAUAAUUUUGGUCCACCAACAAUAUUGAAAUUCAAAAAACUUUAGUCACUUAUUUUCAUUACAAAGAGUGAUAACGCAUUUUUAUUUACCAAUUUGCAAAAACUCAUGGUCACUUUUUAGGAUUUGAAACUUUUGAAAAUUAAUAUUAAUGGUCUUAGAUGGUUAAAUUUAAUGAUGUAUUAUCUUUAUACUUUAAAGAUAAUCAAUGAAUUCUCAAAAUUUAGAAUAGUGUCAUCUUGUAUGUCAAAGAUUCCUUGAGAUGAAAAAAUUUAAAAGUAUAAUAAAUGCGUUAAUCAGCACCAUCUCAGAAAAUUAAUUGGCAGGACCCAUUAAUGAUGUUCAAAUUCAAAACAUUUUGGUGCACUUAUUUUCAUAUGCAAGGAGGGAAAAUACAUUUCUAUCAACCAUUUAUAACAAAAAUAAAUUUUUUAUUUCAAAUAAAUAAAAUUAUGUGGUGAUUACUUUCAUGAUAAUUAAUGACUUCUCGACAAUUAGAAUGAUGUCAUUUCAAACUUAAAAAUUCAUAGACAUGAAAAAAAUUAGUAGCAUAGCAUAAUAAAUGUGUUAACUAAUGUCAUUUCAAAGAAUUAAUCGACUAACUCCAUGAAUGAUAUUGAAAUUUAAAAAGUUUUGGCACAAUUUAUUUUCAUAGCAAUAAGGAAAAAGUACAAUUCUAUCAACUAUUCUGCAACAAAAAUAAGAAAUUUUAUUCAGAAUAUAUAAAUUUAAGAAAUUUUUUAAUAUUAAUAUUAAAGGUUUUAAACAAUUAAGUUUAACGGUUCAUUAUCAUGAUCACGUCAAUGAUGACUAAUAACUUCUCACCAAUUAGGACAAUAUCAUUUCGAAUGCCAAAAAAUCAUUGACAUAGAAAAGUGAUAGCAUAAUAAAUGUGUUAUUCAAUGCCAUCUUCAAAAAUUUAUCGACAUGGUCCACCAGUGAUGUUUAAAUUCAAAAUGUUUGGCACAGUUAUUUUCAUAGUGAGGAGGGAAAGUACAUUCUAUUAACCAUUUUCAACAAAAAUGAGGAUUCUUUAUUAAGAUAAAUAAAAUUUUAAAAUUUUUUAAAGUUAAUAUUAAUGGCUUUGAUGGUUAAAUUUUAUGGUAUAGUGUCAUCAUUACUUUAACUAUAAUUAAUGACAUCUUGACAAGUAGGGUUAUGUCACGUCGAAGAUUGACAUGAUAAAAAUUAAUAGUAUAUAAAUGUGUUAAUUAAUAACAUCUAAAAAAUUAAUUGACUAAAUCCUCUAAUAAUAUUUAAGUUGAAAAACUUUUGGUGAACUUAUUUUCAUAGCAAGAAGAUAAUACAUUUCUUACAAGAAUCAUUAAAGUUAUUUAUUCAAUCAUUUUGCAACAAAAACAAGAUCUGUUUUUAGGAUAAUAAAAUUUUGAAACUCUAUAAAAUUAUUGUUAAUAGUUAUAAAGAAUUAGGUUUAACACCACGUUAUUGUAACUAUUUCAUGAUAAUUUUUUGAUUUCUCGAUAUCUAGAAUGAUGUUAUCUCGAUUGUCAAAGUUUUGUUUACUUGAAAAAGAUUUGAUAAUAUAAUAAACGUGUUAAUCAUUCACAUAUCAAAAAAUUAAUUGAUUGGCUCCCUAAAAAUAUCAAUAUUCAGAAAGUUUAAUUUGCACUUAUUUCAAGAUAAGAAAAUAUAAUAAGUUUUUUAUGAAAAAUUUGAGAUUAAUUUUUCAAUCAUUACCUUUUGAACUAGUUAUUUAAUUAAGAAAAUUAAACUUAGUACAUGACCAAGAAUUUUAGUACUAGUGUUGAUCUGUGCCCUCUUUUGCUUCUCAACAAUCUUGUUUGGAUUCAAAAAAGUAAAUGAGAUAGUCAAAGAUAGGUUAUUUUGCCCAAGGAUACAAACCUUUUCUAGCGUGAAUGUUUUGAGUUAGUUCUCAGAUAAAGUUAAAUGGCAGUUGGACAAAAACUUCCCAAAUUUCCAUAAGAAAAAUAGCAAGAAAGGAUAAGGGUGCCAAAUUUCCUAUGGUUUCUUUAGCUCCUAUUUGGUUUUCCUUUUAAUAAGGUUUUUUGAGUGUAUUUUUGCAAUUUUUUAUAGUUUAAAUUGUCACAUGCCAUUCUUUUCUUGGAAGAAAGACAAUUCAUUAUCGCUUUUUUCUCCUCCCCAUGCCAAGCAUCAUGCAACCUUGUCUUUUUCGGUGCACACAAAUAAUGAGUUGUAUAUAUAAAUGUAACGGUUUCUUUUCACUUUUCUUGAUAAUAAGCAGCUUUUCAUUUUAUGUUCUUGCAUUUGACUUGCUCAUUAUGGGUAAAAGUUGGCUAACGCUUGAGGAAAAUUUAAGGCAAUGAGAAAAUAGUUUUCACGUAAGAUGCAGUGCUGAUAUAUAAUAGGAUAUUGGGAUUUAUAUUCAUAUUAGUCUUAAAAAAUUUAUUAGAUGCAUAAUUACACAAUUUUUUUAACUCUAAAAGAUGCAUAAUUACGCAAUUAAGAUGCCACAGUUUAUUGUUUCCUUAGUAUUUACCUUGCCUUGCAUUUUUCAUGUUAUUAUGAUAUAUUUUUGGAGAAUGUUAACUUACCAUUUGGCUUCAAAGAUUUAAGUAAGUCAAUUGUCAAUAUGGUUUAACUAUUAAGGCAAGUAUCAGGUUGAACAAUGACUGUAUUUAGACAUCAUUAAGAGAACAAGAAACAUGAAAACCUAAAAGGGAUAUUUGAUUUUUAAAGCACAAAUAAAAUUUUUUGGCAAUUGGGAAAUAUAAAUGUAGUUUUUCUCUCAUAUUAAUUAAAUAAAUUACCCUUGAUAAUUGGUGAUUGAAAAGAAAAAUGAAAUUGCAUUCAUUUCUCUUUUCUGCUAUUACCUAAUUCAAUAGAAAAUGGAUUUAUUAUCUAUAUUGGUCAUCAUUUGAUAAGGUAUUUUAGUAAAAAUAAAGUGGUAGCUAUGUAAAAAGAAAUGUCUUAUUAUGGAUAUACAUUUAAAAAAACGAACAAAAUGUAAUUCUCGUUCUUCUUUUUCUUUUCCUUUUUUCUUGUUUGAAAGUAAUCUUUGCCUUUCCUAUAUCAAACUUUAAUUUGGCUAAAUUACUUCUUUCCUAAUCACAAAUUUUAAAGGAGUAUAAUUAUCAUCGUAUGGAGUCUGCAAAUUCCAUUACAUUUCGAGUACUAACUUCUAGCAAGGUAAAAUGAUUGAAAACAUUUUUACCAGUGUUCAAGGACAAAUAUCCAUAAAACAAAAAGGAUGAAUAUCCAUACCUUAGAUAAAGAGAACCUUUACCUAUAUACUUCAAAAAUUGUACUCAUAUUCAUUUAUUCUUUUUUAGUUCCACAAUUCUUAUAAUUCUAGGAGAUGAAAAAUUAAGACUAGAAUACUGAAAAUUCAAAAGGAUAAAAGGAGUAAAAUUUUUUUAGUAAUAUGUUGUGCUUAUUGACAAAUAGCCUAUAGUAUUAAAGUUGUAUUAAUAUUCUCUUGACAAAUUGAAUAUAAAAAAGUGCUAUUACACAAUGUUUGCAACACUAAAAUAUGUGUGCAUAUAAUAUAUUCUGACUCAAUUAAAGCAAAAGGAAAAACCAAUAUACCUUGUAUUUUAAAAAAAUUCACUUUCCAUAAUUGAAUCUAUUUUAAGUGUCGAAUUCGAUAUAUGUUGAGCAUAUUUCUACUUUUAUACAUAAUUGUUGAAUUUUUUUUCUUAUGAUUACAAUUGAAAGAAUGAGUAUUACCAGACAUGUGCCCAUUCAGCAUUUAAACAUUUCCUUCUAAAUUAUUUUUCAUACUUGUGGAUUCUUUUCUAAUUUUAUCUUUUUGAAACCAAAAAAAUUUUAAAAAAUACUUGCUAUAAUUUACACAUUAAUUGAAGUUAUUGUCAACAUUAAACAUUUCAAAUUUUAGUCGUUUUUUGCUAUAUGAAACAAUAUUCUUCCACUUACUGGAUAAGUAUUCAUGUAAUGUAUAGAUAAGUAAUUUGACAUAAUAUUGUGUUAAAUAAAGUUUCUGAUUUCAGGUUGCAAACAUAAAAAAGUUAAUUUGAGCAUUAGACACAAGCAAAUUGGUCAAAGAAUGAUGCGAAGUAUAUAUAAGAACGUGAUCCAAAAAAUUUCUUAAUAAUUGGCUAUUAGGCCUCCAAGUGAUAGAAAAACUAAAAAAAAUUAGAAGGUGUAAGAACAUAACCGUAAGAGAUAUUUUGUCUAAACUCAAUACCAUUUAGUAAUAUGGAAUUUUGUGAAAGUGCCACAAAUGAUAAAUUAUCAAAAUAAAUAUUUUCAUGUCAAAAAAUCAAAAGGUUAAUUGUCUAAAGAAAAAUAAGUUAAAAAGACAAUUAUUUGCCAUGACAUCAUUUAAUUGGAAACACUACAAAAUAAAGGAAAACGUAAGAAAGAUAUGUUGGACAGAUAUCUUAAGGUAAGUGUGAUUAAUUUUUCAAAAUUGCUGAUUACAUUCAUCUAUUCAAUAGGGCUUGACAUCUUUUGACUUUGGGCCAUGAUCUCCUCACUCCUAACGUCCAACCAACUAGAGACUAGAUUAGCACCAAAAGAAAUGAUGAAAAUAAUGAAUUUAUUAAAAAAAAUGACAUAUUUUUUGCUUAAAAGGAAAAACAAAAGAAAUAACAAAAAUAAGAUAUUUCUACUUUAUAAGAAAAACAAAAGAACUAAUUAGCACAAAAAGAAUAGAGAAAAAUCAUUGAUAUAUAAAAAAUAAGAUGUUUUUGCUUAAAAAAUAACAAAAAAUAAGAUAUUUCUACUUCAAAAGAAAAACAAAAUAAUAAACAUACCAAUAAAAAAUUUUCCCCACAUGCUUAAUUUCUUAACACGUCAACCGUUGAUAAUUACUUGUAAAUUAUUUCCUAAAUAAUGUGACUGUCUAAUUUCUAAAAAUUAGUUAGGAUUGAGAAAUAGAGAGAAAAGAAGAGAAAGAGGAGACUUUUCUCUUAGUUGAAAAUUUUAAGUGGAGAGAAAAGAAAGGGAAUAGAGAAAUGCGAAGGAAUAGUCUUAUGGAAAUUUUCUCUCCAAAAGUGAAGAGAAAUAGAAGAAAAGUGUUCUAAUAGCAUUAAAAAGACUUGAAUUGCCAUAUUUCUUAUUACAAUAAACAUCGACACUAUUGAAACUGGGGGUAGCUAAAUAAAAUAUAUACACUUAUACAAUGUUCCAUCCGAUUACUCCCAAAUAGUAUGAAUGGGAAUUGCAAUCCUUUUUCCUCUUUCUUAAGUUUUCUCCUUUUCUUUUAUCUCCUCUUCUAAACUCCCAAACUAGGCCUAAGAUAGUUAUUUCUUUCCUUCAAUGUUAUUUUCAUUGGCGGAUUACAUUUGUACCUUUAGCAUUUAGCAUGUAAGAUGAUGUUAUAGAGAACUAGUAUAUUAGUAUCUUUCUUCAUGGUUCCUAUUGAAGUUAAAGUUUAGUGUUACUAAAAUUUAAUUUAUUUUUCUUUUGUUAGCUUGGAAGAAGUUAAUAAAUGUUUAUUAAUUUGUCAAUUAAAUGCAUUUGCUAUGUACUAGUAAGUUUUUAAUGUUGUAAAUUAAAGUUUUUCUUACUGAAUAUUUACUUAAAGAUUUUUUUAUGUUGAUGCCAUUUAUUUGUGGAUCAUGACACAUGAAUUGACCAUCAUUUGCUAGCCUCUAUUUCGAACUCAAUUUUUUUUGGUGUGUCAUUUAAACUAGGUUGAAAUCAGUCACAUCAACAAGUGACCUAUUUCAACCUAUUUUUUUUUCUUUUAAUAACUCCAACUUCUUGAUGUAGGAGAAACUCUAUAGAUUUCGAAGGUUUUCACCUUCUUUUGGCCUUGUAAAGUAUCACGACAUCUUUACCCUGAUAAAAAAUAUUUCAACAAAUAAACAUAAAAAUUUGUAUCAAGUUAUUUUCAAUGCAUCAAACAAAAUAAUAGAUUGAAAAUUUUAGCAAAUUAGAUUGACAAUAGAGUGACCAAAUGCUUUAUUGAAGAAAUUGCGAAGAGUGACCGGAACCUUAAAGUUAUUAUUCUAGCAAUAGAAAUAGGAAACUUGUUUAAGGAACCAACCACACUGCAAUUAAAGUGUAAAAAGUGUGAUAAGUUAAUUGUAACAUCAAUAUCUUAGACAAAUCUCAAACAGUGUCAGGACAGGAGAAGGCAGAAAGCUUAAGCAAUAUUUGAUUUUCUUUUGAAAUAUAUAUCAACAAUCACUCCAAGAUAACUUUAUAUAAAUACCUGUAAGUGGUAGCACUUGUUUAAUUUAAAAACCAUAUGGAGUUGAAAUUAAUGACAAGUUCAAGUAACCCACUAACUAUCACAACAACCCAAAAUAUAUAUUGGCAUCUUUAUUAUGUCAGUAUAACAAUUAAAACAAAGUUAAAUUAAGAUUAAAUGUAAACUAUCAUUAAGUACAUAAUCCCAUUCAUUGAAAUGCAAAUCAACAAGACUGCAAAUUGUAAAGAUAAUAAAUUGUUCAGCAACACCAUUGAAGCUUUAUUAAGUGAUCUAGAUUUUGUUAGUUGUUUAGCUUUAUCCAUAAUCAAUCAUAGAGUGAGUUGCACCACGAAAUUAGACAAAAUUUAAGGGAAAAGCAUUGGAGGAUGCUUCAAGUUUUCAAUGAUAUUUCAGAAUUUGUAAAUUGGUUUCCCUAUUUGAUGUGUUAAGAAGUGUACUGAGUAACUUGCAGCUAAAAUGCAAUUCAAUGUUUGCCAUGCAUAAAAGUCUUGGCAUCAAAUGAAAGAUCUAUUAUUCCUCUACUUAUAGAAAAUAUAAUCUAUAAUGGAAAAAAAGGAACCCAUCAAAGAUUUUAACUGUGAACCACAUUUCUCUCUUCUACCUUGCUCCAUAAUCUCCCUGACAAUUUUAGAGAGAAUGGGUUGAGAAAGAAUCAUAUUGUAGAGAUUCAAAUAAGCGGUUCGAAAGACAAAAAUAGUAUCAAAAGGAAAAAGGUUAAUAUAUAUGUAGAAUAAUCAAUUUUUCCAUCAAAAUAAAAAUCAAACAUGUAGUUGAACAGUUAAAAUUUAUGUGAAAGGUCAAAACAGAUAUAUAAGAACUUCUAAUUUUUCUUAUAUAUUCAGGUCAAUGAAAUUUAUAUGCUAUAGAUUCAGAUGAGCAGUUUAAAAGAUGAGAAUAAUAACAAAAGUAGAAAGACAUCUACUUAUGUAGAAUAUUAAAAUUUUCCAACAAAUCAAAAAUCAAACAUUUCAUAAAAGUAGCUAAAAUUUAUGUGAGAGGUCAAAACAAAUAAACUUCCAAUUUUUCUUAUACAUUUAGGUCGAUGGAAUUUUAAUUGCAACCUUAAACAAAAGACUCGAUUAAUUUUUAUGCUAGAUUUAACAUAUUUUCAUUUGAUAAUAGAACUCUUAAAGAAGUGGAAAGAAAAUUGUUUUCUAGGUUCAACCAAGCAAAGCUACUAUAAAGCAUGAACUAAGAAUGAGUUGAAAAAAUGCAUGAACUAAGAAUGACGUAAUAAGCUGGCUUGUACUUGAUUACUUUACUAAGAAUAAUUACAUGAACUAGUGUGUUUUUUUUUAGGGGUGUCCCGCAAGGAGUCGAUCCCGCAGACUAUUCCUCACCCUCCACAACAACUUGCUAGUAGCAAGGUUCGAAUCAGGGACCUAAGGUUCCAUCUUCAGCAACCUCAACCGCCAGACCAAGCCCUGGAGGGCAAACUAGUGUGUUUAUUAUUAAACUUUUGUAUUAAAUUACAUUACUUCUUGCUGUUUAUUUUUCUAAUAAAUAAAUUUUGUGUUACUCUUAAUACUUUGAGAGUAAUUUGUAUUUUACGUCAAUUUACUUCUUAAGGCCAAUUUUUUGUUGUAAAUUCUUAUUUUCUUCAUUUAUAUGUAGACCAACCUUCCGUUUUAUUGCAGAAACAUUCCUUUAAACUUUUAGGUUUUUAUUUGAAAAGUUUUGAAACAUGAUUCGCUUAUGGACUUAUUAUCCUCCAUUUAGAUUGUGAAGGUAAUUAUCUACAUUUUGUAUUUUAUUUAAUUCCUUUUGUAAAUAUUUUGUUGUCUUUAUAUACUUAUGAGUAAUUUUUUUUGACAUGCAAUAAAGAAUUUUUAGAAUUUGAAUUAUUAAAAUUUAGAAAUGAAUUCUUAAUCAUAAUGGAAUCAUUUGAUUUAUUUUUUAUGUUUGGGUGAUAAGAUACAUUACCUAAUUUGAAUCAUAUAGUAUAGUUUACAGAUUUUAUUUUAAUCAAAACUAUUUUCACAAUUUGAAUCUUUUCACUUUUGUGUAUGUAUUUAUGCAAACAUCUUUUUUUUCCUUCCAAGAAAUUCAAAUAAUUUGCGAUGCAUCAAUGUAUUGCAACAAUUUUGGCUGUAUGCUACUAAAGGCACCUAAACAAAUUCUAUGUUUUUGGGCAUAUGCAUUGUUGAUGGUAGUGAUCAUGUUGUCAUUUUGCACAGUUUGACUUGAAAACAAAGUAAUAUACUAUGUACUAAACAAUUGUUUAUUGCUUUUCUAAAGGUUUAUGCAUUAAUAAAUUAAAGCUAAUAAAUAAAGGUAAAUAAUGUAAAUGAAAUGAAAAAGAUUUAAGAUCAAUUUCAAAAUAGUGCUAAAAAAGAAACAAAAAAAAAAAAGAAGAAAGGAAUUGAAUGAACAGUCAAUUAACAUGGCUUUCAAUUAAAAAAAAUUCAUUAGUCAAUUUUUGUUAAUUUUGAUUCAUCUUUUUUCUACAAUUAUAUAGAUAUAAAAAAUAGGAAAAAUUACCAAUCGCCCCUCACAUAUUAGCGAUGAGAAAAUUUCGUCUCUCAAAAUCAAAAUGAGCGAUUUUAGUCCCUAACAAAUAAAAAACAUUCACUUUUAAUUCUUGGCCAUCUUUUCGAUAGAAUUUUGGCCGAAAUUAGCCACGUGCACAUCAUGUGAUUAAAUUUUAAAGGAUAAAUCUAGUAACUCAAUUAACUAUUGAUCCAAAAAUUAAAAAAAAAAAAAACAUAUGCACCACUUAUUCCCUUCCACUACCACCCUCACCCCAUUCCCACUUCCUUUCAUCAGAAUUACCACCCUUGAAUCCUCAUUGCAAUCCCUUCUUUUCCCCUACUCAUCUUCUUUCCUUUCUUCCUCUCUCUCUUUUCUCUACCACUACCCAUCCCCUUUUCCCUCUCAUUACCACUUCUCAUCCUUUCCUUAUUCAAAUAAAAUUUACAUAUUCAUACACUAUUGAAACAAUCUACUAUAGCUUUUUUUUUUUAGGAAAAUUCAAUAGAAAUAAUGCUUAAUUAAAUAAGUAGUAAUCUAGUAGAACUGUAGCUUUGUUGGUUGAGCUUGUGCAACAAUAUAACAAAGACCCAAAUUUUCUUCCCUAAAGUUUUGCUCAACACAGUUAUAUAGCCUUGCCCCAACUUGAAAUUGACCAAAAAAUAGAAUGAAAACAAAAACUUCAAAAUGAGGCCUCAUCUAGUUUCUAUAGAUCUACUCGCAUCCACUAGCAAUUUAUUCACCCUUCUUGUUGUGCUUCCUUGCAUUCCUCUAGUUCUUCAAGAACCUGGGAUCCAUCCCUUUGGUGGAAAGUGUGGCAGUGCUUUCUAGACUUCUUGAUGCCAUUUUUCUGAGCCUUAUAAGACUACGUAUGAGCAUUGGAGUGGAUAAGUCAACGUCAUCUGGUUAUGAGCAUUGGAGUGGAUAAGGUAACAUCAUCACUGGUGGAAUAAGUCUUGUGUUAAGGGAUUCAAGUCAUGUUUGCUACCUUGCAAUAGAGAUUUCAAAAAUACUCAUUACUUUAGCUUCCCACCCGUAGACACCAAAAUUUUAAUGUUUAUUUAAUUCAAUUUUAAAUUUAUUCUUUUAUUUUUAUUUUAUUUUAUUAUUAUUUAUUAUUAUUUUCAUUAUUUUAUUUAAAGUUGCAAAAUAAUAAUUGAUGUUUGUUUUUAUUUUGGUACAUUAAGAUUCACCAUUUUCUUUUCGUUUUAAAACAUUUUUUGCACUAAAUUUCAAAAAAAGAAAAUUCUUAAUAAAAAUUCAUUUUUAUCUUUUUCAAACUCAGUUUUUGCUAAGUGAAAUGACAUUUUGUAAAGCAAUUAGAAAUUAACAUUUAUUUAUCAUAAAUUGGUUUUGAAAAAGAAAAAUACAAAACAAAAAAAUAAUAUGAGGCACACAUGCAAUAGGGCCAAGUGGGGUGCAUGCAAAAGAAACAAGUGUCCCUAUUUUUUUUUUGGACACCACAACAAAGGGAGGGGGUAUGUGGCAAAACACUUGGAGGUUUAGGAAAAUUUGAAAAAAAAACAACAAGAAAAAGGGGAAAGGCUUGGCGGCUGGUGGGAGAGGGAAAAAGGGAGGAAACCAAGCAAGAAAGGGCUGCAGGAAAACUAGAGAAAAAUGCAAGAAAGAAACAAGAGAAAGCGGAGGCCGAGAGAGGAUUUUUUCAGCAAAAGAGAGAACUGAACAAAAAAAAAAAAAAGGAACUGAGAGAAGGAAAAAGAGAGGGUUUCUGAGGGGAAGAGAUAGAGAGGAACCAAGAGUGAGAGAAAGAGGGAGAGAGUGGAGAGUAUAUCUUUGGUUUAUCUUCUUCCAGCCAUAACCAAGAGAGUGGGAAAGAAAACAAGGAGGAAGAAGAGGGAAAUCUGGUGCUAUUCUUCGAGGAACAGAGGGACAAAAAGCUACCGUCACUUCACUGGAAUCCACUGUCAACGCCGACAACCAUCACUGGAAGAGCAGUGUAAUGAUUUCUGUCUCCUUUCUUACCUUUAAUUCUUGUUAGUAAACAUCUGCAAAUGAGAGUUGUUGGUCUGUUGGUUCCUCACCCCUUGCUUCUAGUAAAAAUUUCUCAUGUUUCUCUGAUGUUUAUCUAUGUUAGGAUAUAAUUUCUAUUGUUGAUGGGGGGAGUUUGUUUGGGUCUGCUAUUGCGCAAUUAAUGGAGUCAGUUUAACCUCACUAAUACAUCCGACAUGUUUAAGGCUGCGACGUAAAUUUAAGCCAAGGAAAUCAGUCCGGUGAAAUUCAGCGUGUAUGUGAAAAGAGAACCCAUGAGUGCAACCGGAAAGUUGAGAGAGACAGUCUAUUUGCUGCUGUUUCCUUGCACUUUUUCUGCAUUUUUAUAGUCCCAAGUUACUUCAUUUUUGCUGUUUACUUGCAUUUUUAGGUAUGGCAGCGUCUGAUGGUUCUUUCUUUGACUAUCAUUUAUCCCUAGAACACCAUUUCCUCCUCCUAAAAGCGAGGAACUUGUCUGAUGCUUGGUUUUGGCUGUAUGAUGUGUGCAUGAGUUUGAAAACAACAUCUUGGUUCCUCCCUGUUUUAUGGCAUGAUAGCGCCAAUCCAUACAGAAAUUCUGUUUUGAUAACCUGCUAUGCUUAGGGACAAAAGCCAUUAGAUUUCUUUCAUGCGUGAAACAAGAGGGAAGAGAAUCAUGAGUUUUGGGGUUUAUUGUCUAGUGCUUUUUUUCUGAUUCGAGUCUCUGGUUGCUUUGUUUUCUGGAAAUUUUGGGUCAAAGUUUAGCAAAUGUUCAGGUCACUUUGUUGCCUUUUGUGUCUAGAAACUUGUUGAAUCUUUCCUCUCUCCCUCGUCUCAAGUUCUCGCAUAUUAUGGUUGAAUAAGUUAGGAUUUGCUUGAGUCACUUUGCAUGAAUAUGUUUCGGCUGAAUGAAAACAAGUUGUAGAAAGAAUGGUGGCUGGGAAAUUGAAGAAGCAUAAGCUUGUUCGAAGCUUUGCAUGAGAAACUUUCAAAAAUUACACCUUAACCCCUUAAUGUUUAUCUAUUUGUGUUAUGGUCCAAAAAUUUUUCUAUUUGAACCAAUUUUACCCUUUCUUGACUUCAUGCUUUUUUUUCCAUGUUUUAUGGUUCAUUGGGUAGAUUAAUUCUGGAAUUUAGGAUAGUUAGAGUUAAAUAUUAUUACUUAAUUUUUCUUUGUUUGAAUUUUGUAAAAAAAUAGUUUAGACUUGGGUAAUGUUUUUGUUUGGAGUUUAGUGAGAGGGGUUUUGAUUUAUGUUUGUGAUUUUUAUUAUUUGGAUUUGGUAGGUUUCAUCUUAAGCCCUUAAUUUUAAGUUAUUUCAUUUUAGACCCCUAAUAUUUGUAAUAAUAAUGAUUUGACCUCUCAAAUUUCUUUAAUUCUUUCAAUUGGGUUCUUGUUUGUCUUAAUUUGUUGAAUAUGAGUUGUUUACCUUCAUUAGAAUGCCUUGAUUGAUUCAAUUUCGUGUUUAUUUCUAUUUUUUGUGAUUGUUUGUUAAUUAAAGUGAUGCCUUGACCUUUUUCUUUGUUUUGGAGAGUAAAUAAGAAAAUUUUAUUUCAUUAGAUCACCAAUUCAAGGGAGGUACACUCUACUCCUUUGUUUUAAUUUUACUUGAUCCUAUGUUCUCCUAUGUGACUUUAUGUAUGUAAUUUCAUGUUUUUUUAAUGUUUUUUAUUUCGUCUAUUUACUUAUUCAUUUCAUUUGUUCUAAUUUUAUAUAUUCAUUUUAAUUUAAUUUUUGGUUAUUGGAGAGGCAUUAAAUGCCAAAUUGUAAUAGUUAGCCUUUUAUUUUAUUUCAUUUCAUUCUCUCCCCUUUUAUAUUGUAGUUAGGGUCCCCAAAUGUAAUAGUUAGAUCUUUGUUCGCUUUAUUUACUUUGUGUGUCUUGCAUGCUUGUGUGUUUACGUGUUACUCGCUUUCUUAGGAACUCGCAUCUAGAUAUCAUGUUUAUGUGCUACGUGCUAUAUGUGAUUUAUGUGUUUAUUUACUUUUAUUAUAUUUUAUAUGAUUUAUUUUGUUAUAAUAAAUGCAUGACGUCACCACACUAGUCCAACGCUAGUUGUGACCAUUUUUUUUUCGAUUCCACACUAGUCCAAUGCUAGUCGUGACCAUCUUUUCCGAUUUCUCACUAAUCCAAUACUAGUGAGAACUUAUAAAUAUGGGUUAGUCUAACGCUAGACUCUUAAAAAUCAUCCACGCGCUAAAUCAUAUUUGUGUGACAAUCACUACAUUUUCAUGCAUAUUUUCUACUUUGUAGCGUUUUUUUUCAUUUUGCAUGACAUUUCCCUUAUAUAUAUAUAUAUAUAUAUAUAUAUAUAUAUCCCUUAUCUCAUUCCCACUAUAUGUAUAUUUCUAUCCCAUAUUUUCCCUAUAUGCAUAUUUCUUAUCCUUAUGUGUGAAAUAUGACAUAUAGACUUGCAUUCUAUUUAAGAAUUAGAAUUAGAUUAGAUCAUUUGCUUGAUUAGAUAGGAAAAAUACCCCUCGAAUAUAGGAUAUGGACGAGUAUGACCUUUUAGCCUUAGCACAUUCGUAUUCCCUCUAUAAAAGGGAAAAUCUAGUUGUGAAUAUUAGUUCCCCGCACCCUUUAUGAUGCAUUCCUUUAGGUCAUAUAUAUUUGUAUAUUAUUAUUUUCUUUUCUUAGAAUCUCAUAUUUUUGUAUAUUCGUAACCUCUUCAAAGAGUCACUCUUGGGCAUCACAAUUAAUGUGAUUUGCACUAAUUAAGUUUUGAAGAGAUAAUCCGACCCCCCGAUAUCCUUGUAGGUUUAGGUUUUGCAUCCAUAUAGUGACAUCCAAAUGCGAUAAAUUCUUAGAUUAAAAUAAGAAAAUUUUUGACUAAAUCACGCAACUAGCCUUGAUUAGGUUAAAAGGGUGCUUCUAAUUUUAUUCUUGCCUUUUCUUUUUUUAAAUGUGACUCCCGACCUCUUUUUUAUUGAUUUUCACAGACUUAGAGUCGUUUAAAAAGGGUUUUCUCUACUUUUUCUUUAAAAAAUUCAUUUUAGGUGACUUGAUACACCUUAACUCAAUACCAAGUGGCAACUCCUAUUUUUCAUUAAAAAUCCUUUUUAAACUAUUAUUUUUGAGUCAAAAUCGUCGCAUUUUUUAAUCCCAUUUAGGCCUAUUUCUUUCUUUAUUUUCUAAAAAUCAAAAACUCAUUUUUUAAAUAAAAAAUUAAUCAAAAAGUCAUUUUUUGUAAAACCUGUAAUUUUACUCAUUAUUUUUCAUUUAAAAAUGGUGCGCAACAACUUGGCGACUCCACUGGGGACUUAGAGAGUCCGAUUAUUUGAUUUAAUCAAUCUUUUUUUUCUUUUAACCUUUUUAUAUAUCAAUUUGGAAGUUUAGAGUUGCGUUUUUCCUUUUUUAGGGUUUUCUUGCAUUUAACACGCGCAAUUAUCUCGAUAUCCGUGUAUAUGAAUAAUAUGCUUAUCUAUUUCAUUUACUUAUGUUUAAUCGCACUUGCAUCUUAAGGGAGGGGGGUAGCCACUCUAGAACCUUCACCCGCAUUUAAUGGUAUUCAAUCUCUCCUUUCAAUAGAGGUAUUUCAUACGUGCAUACGUUUUACUUUUAUAAUCCCUCAUUUCGUUUUACUUUUAGUGGUUGUCACACCAUUCUACCUCGUUGGGGUUAGAAUAGAUCCACUUAGACAUGUUGCCAUGGCACGACGUGCGCGUAACAAUGUCCGAGAGAUCACUCGAACCACCGACUCUUAGACUUUGGAAUUGAUGACCCUUCGCCUUUGGUCUGAAGGUUUGGGGGUCUGAAGUUUUAUCGAGUCUAGAUGCAUUAGUAUGCCCAACCUCAUGCAUUCAUAUUAGAGAUCGCCUAGAAUAGAGUCAGUCUUACCCUAAUUAGGAACACUAGGCAUGAAAGGAGGGAUUCUACCUUUCUUUCCUUACUUCUCUUUCUUUUUGCCUUCUGUAUCAUCUAAUUGCUUGACGUGUUAUGUGUUAUUUGUUGAACUAACAUUUCAUUUGCAUUCACAAAUAUUAGAAAAUUAGAGUUCUGGCGUGGUACUCUUUUAGAGCCUACCUUCUUAAAUAGGUUCUGUCACGUUUAAACUUUGAUUCAUUGCAUUUGUAGUCUAAUAAUUGCAUAUCAUUUUAGACUUACCCCAGCAUAUAAAGGGGUCCUUUUUAGGUCAUGUUUCAUAUUUAAUCACUUUGAUAAGGUGGCAUCAUACAUAAACCAUAAAGGGAAUCUCAUAUUAGGAAUAAUCCACCCUUUUGUCUCGGAUACUUAAUUCAAAGAGACUUGCACGUUUAUAUUUUUGUAACAUCCAGAGGGGUAGUGCACAAGGUAAGAUAGAAUCCGAUCAUUUUCAUAGAGAGAUCUUUUGUACAUUAGAAUAUGAGCCUCUAAUACUCUUUUUUUUUGGCCCAUUUUAUUGAAUUCGUAAAAUUUUUUGCAAAAAGGAUCUUAAAUUGAAUAAAUUCAUAAAUGACUCCUCAUUAUUGAGACAAUAAAUGAAUCAAAGCCAAAAUUUUGAUUGUAGAAGGCUCAUAGCCUAAUGUGUUGGCACCAAAAGUGUCAAAUUAGGGUUUUUAUCGAUUAGGUGAGCCAACCCAUUUUAGCAAAUCAUCAAUUUCAUUCAACCCAUUUGACCAAUUAGGGUUUCAAUGUCAAAUUUCAAAUUGGGAAAUCUAGUCGAUUUUGAGAAAAUCAUCCAUUGCAUCCAGUCAUUUGGGGUUUUGAUCCAUAUUUCACUAAGAAAAUUUGUCAACAAAUUUCAAUCUCUCCGAUAGAAAGUUCUUCAAGAUCAAAUCGGUGUGUUUUUACAAAUUAUUGUGUCAAUCAAAACAAUCAAUCCAUUCGGACUUUACCCUUGUUCUAUCAGGCUAAAAAUCUCCCGUAGUUCAAUUUGCUAAAAUUUUCAAAUCAAAUGGCAAUAAGUUGAUCAGAUCCAUCAGGCAUUGUAUAGUGCCUACCCUGAAGGAUUGCAUUUUCCUACUAGACCAACCCUUGGCGUAAAAAAGGUCUCCCAAUAGGGCAUGCAUGCGAAUUAUCUCAAUAUAUACUAACUCGCGUCUUUUUCUUUUUCUUUCUUUUCUUGCUUUGCCAAUAGCCGGUAAAUAGAUGAUGCUAAAUAGGAUUUUCUAAAAUGUCAGACGUUUUUCAAAUAUAGCUACAAGAAAAAAAUCCAUCGUCAUACGAUCUUGCAGUCGAGCUUUGAGAAAUCGUGUAAAUAUGAGCGCACAUCGGAAUCAUCUGAUAGAUCGACACGGCACCUCCAACAGAUGCUGUAAAUUUGGGAGCUCAAUUGAGCGAGAUGUUACACAAAUUAAAUGAAUUGAGCGUGAAGAUGAUGGUCUAAAGGCGCAUGAUUGACCAAUUGGUUGUUAGUAGUGGUGGUGUCCAGCAUGAUCCCUUGUCUAUUGGCCAACUUGAAAUAGAACACCAGCCACCUCCUUUAUUCCAUACCCAAGUUGCUUUCGUGUCAUCUUUUGCAAAUAUGCCCGAAGAGACUUUCACCUAUUCCGUUUCCAUUUUUUCAUAUACUUACCCCAUAACAUUCAAAUUAACCCAGCUAGCAUUCAAAUGUCUCGAAAUUACCCGCCAAAUAUGUCAAUUGACUCUCAAGUACCUCAUCACAUCACCACUGAGCCAUUCAUAUUGGAUACUACUAUGCAAGAGAAGGUGAAAAUGGGUGAAUCCUCCGCCCCAAUGGACAAAAAUCUGUUGAAAAGAUUGAAUAAAUUUGAUGAAUUCAUGAGGAAAAGCCAAGGAAUGAGCAAGUCUGGAGGUUUAGACUAUGAUGAACUAUGUCUUUUUCUAGAUAUGCAAUUGCCUUUGGGUUUUGAAACACCCAAAUUUAGUAAAUAUGAUGGAACUGGCAAUCCCAAGACGCAUCUUAGACUAUUUGCAAACAAGUUGGGAAAGUCAAUAGGUGAUGAAAGUUUGCCUAUACGUUUAUUCCCAGAGAGUUUAGAGGGAGAUGCUCUAAACUGGUAUUCUAAUUUGAAGCCUGAAGAAAUCAGAACAUGGUUGGAUUUAUCAACCGCCUUCGUGAGACAAUACAAGUACAAUUGUGAACUUGCUCUCACAAAAACUACGCUUGAAGGCAAUAAAAGGAAACCAUCUGAAAAUCAUAAGACAUAUGCCAAGCGAUGGCGAAGACUGGCAGCUAAGAUGGAACCUCUGAUGACCGAAGAGAAAAUUGUCUGUACUUUCAUUAAAACUCACGACCCACCAUAUUUUGAGGAGAUUUUUCGCAUGAUCGGGUGUUCAUUUGCAGCAAUUAUUAAUAAGUUGGAGGAGUAUGAUGAAUAUGUCAAAGCAAGAAAAAUCGUUAAUGUAUCGGCUUUAAAAUUACAGUUGGACGCCUUGUAAGGUCAGAAUAAUAACAGAAGGGAACCUCAACUCAAGAAGAAAGAAGAGAAAACUGCUUUUGAGUGGGACCAAGGACCGUCUUCAAGACCUAGGUUCCAACGUUACCACACAUAUUCAUCUCACUACCCAAACCAAGGCCAUGUUUACUAUACUACUGUAAAUCACUCUCGCCAUUGAUCAAACUAUGCAAGCCUACCUACAAUGCUCUUCCCAAUAUCUCAAUCCAACCCUCAAAUUUGACUUCGUCUACCUUAUAAUUCCAGACCUGCUCCAAGACAUGAUCGAACCAGGAGAUAUAAUGUUAAAAAAAAAAAAAAAGAACAAGGACCGAGCACAAGUACGAAUCCUUUUCCUGAAUACAAGGGCACCAUCACAGCAUUUAUCCCCAAUGAAGAAAUUUGAAAAUCCUGAAAGAGUCUGAAUUAGUGAGAUUCCUCCCUCUUGAAGAGAAGUUUAAAUAAAUUUGGGGAAUUGUUUUGGUUAAAAUCAAUGAAAAAUCGUUCAUACGUGUGUCUUUUAUUUAACUAUAUUUUUUGUAAAUAGUUUUCAAUCAAGUGAUUUUUGAAAACACGUUUCGUUUAUCAAGUAACAUGAUAUUAAGUUUGAUUUUUUUUCUUGAAAUGUAAUAAAAUGUACAGUUUUAUAUGUACUAUGACUUACACAUUCUUUUCAGAUGGUACAAAAUAAAACUCCCUGACCCUUUGGAUAUUACAAUUCUGAAAUUUGAUGGUUGUAAUCUUGAUACCGCAUGAAUGUAGGAAUAGCGAGAAAGUAUCCGAACAUACUUCAAAGAUAUUCAAAGGAGGAACUCAAACCGAAUAGGGAUCAAGAUGAAGGAAAUAAAAUUAGUGGUCACUUGAAUAAAAAGCAGAAAAAGGAAGUUGAUGGAAAGCAGUGUCAAGAACAAUAAUCUUUAUUUGAUGAGAAGCAACCAAAUGCAGUCAAAAGGAGCGACUUGUGCUUACAAUAAAAGGGUCAAAUCGUGAUUAUUCAAAAAAGAGACAGCAUGACUAGUCGAAAAAGAGACAAAAUGUUGAGGCAACUAUUAUCGGUACAGGAUUGGAAAGGAUUUGUUGUCAAAAAAAAAGAAGAAAAGAGGGAAAAAAAAGAAAAAAGAAGAGUAUUGUCCGGCGGAUCACUUAUGUUUCAUAAAUAUGAAUAAAUAGGAGUCUUCCUCAAUCAAUUAAUUCAGAUACAUGGAAGAAUUUCGUAUUAAUGAAAGUUUCCUUUCAGAGUUAAUGUAAGGAACGGAAUAAAAGUCAGACCCUCUUCUUUUUCAAUCAAACAUUUUAUCCCUAGUUACUUCUUUUGAACUUUCAGAAUGAUCAUUUAACCCCUAAGAAUCGCAAACCCCAUACUAGGACAAUUUUGAAUUUUAACAAAAGAAAACUAGAAAAGAAAGGAAAAACUUCAAAAGAUGAUAGGAUGGCAGAAGGCCGAAAGAAAAGAAAUGAAAGAAAAGAGAAUCUCGAUUAAGCAUAAAUUGGGGCAAAUUUUGAAAAUUUCAAAGGAAUGGUAGAAGGCCGAAAAAAAGGAAAAUGAAAGAGAAGAGAAUUUCAGUUGAAAAUAAAUUGGGGCAAGUUUUAGUUUAACCCUAAAAUAGGGUUGAUGCAACAAUGCAAUUUCAAAUCAUUUAAACCACUUUUGAAAUCUGCUUUCAACACUUAACUUUUCUAAGCACCCCACCUGACCCCAUUACAAAAAUCGAAAGUCCUGACUUCUAUUCUUUAUAAUAUCUCUAUCAAGAAAUUUUCUAAUUAAUUGGCAAAUGAUGUUCAUAUACUGAUACCAGAAAAUUUUUUAGAUGUAUUUUUGAAUUGAUUAGGUGUGAGGGACACUACUCAUUAUGUGAAAAUCCGCAAUGACGCCUUUAAAAGAGAAAAGGAGAAAGAGAAAAGAAAAUCAAGAAGGAAAAUAGGAAAAAAGAGAAAGAAAAAGGAAAAACAAAAGGAUGGAGAAUAAUCUUGGUGAAAACCAGAAAUGACGCUAAGGUAGGGUUGCACAAAGAAAACAAAGGUGACUCAGUUCAUUGGAAUUCCUUUUCACAUUGUGAUUUUUCUGCUAGCAUUGAAUUUCAGACGGACGAUAUCCAAAGGGUCAAACGGGCCACUUUGUUAAAGGCCAAAGCAUUUUAGUCAUCAACAUAGAUUGCUGGAUUUGUAAUUCAUUUCUCUAAAGCCAUCUUUUUCUUUCAAUGCAAGUCGAUGGUUAUUUUUUUCAUUAUUUUGAUUUUUGACAUUUUUAUAUAAAAAUUCUUUGGGUGUUGCAUAGUUGCAUUUGUCUCAUUAAAUUUUAUCAGAUGAUAAUUUUCUCAAUUUAUCGAAAGGUACAUAUGUAAAAGUUUUCAUGUUAAGUUAGCAUUGAAAACUAAGGCAACUGGGAUGCAAUUUGCGGUGCAAGGUUGGGUUUUGCAGCAUCGAGAAAAAAAUAUCAAAAUAUUCAUAUUUAUACGUUUCUCGAAAGCCGGAUGGAUCGAAUGGUGGUGGCAUUAUUUUGAUUGUUUCACAUAGCAAAACUGAAAAAAAUUAUUUUUGUAAUAAAGUCAUGAAAUAUCGCCCAACAAUUAAAUAUUCAGGGUUCAAAUAGAAGAGGAAGUGAUAAUCAAAACCUUAAGGAGGAGCAACACUGCCAUAAUAUAAAAUAAAUGAUUGGUUGUACAAAAAUUGAUUCAAAUUGGGGCAAUUUUUGAAAAGAUUUUUCAGGUAAGUAUUCAAGAACUUUUUCAUACAAUAACGUGUCUUUUAUCUCCGUUAGCAUCGGAUUUAACCCACUAACAUGUCUUCUAUCACCGUUAGCAUCGGGUCCAAUCCACUAAUAUGUCUUUUAUAUCCGUUAGUAUCGGAUCCAACCCACUAACGUGUCUUUUAUAUCCGUUAGCAUUGAGUCCAACCCACUUACGUGUCUUUUAUAUCCGUUAGUAUCGGGUCAAACCCACUAACAUAGCUUGUAUCACUGUUAGCAUCGAGUUUAUCUUACUAACGUGUUUUUCUGUCACCGUUAGCAUCGAGUUUAUCUCACUAAUGUGUUUUUCUUUCACCGUUAGUAUCGAGUAUAUCUCACUAACGUGUGUCGUGUUUUUCUUAUCAUCGUUAGAAUAGAGUUUAUCUCACUAACGUGUUUUUUCUUUCACUAUUAGUAUCGAAUAUAUCUCACUAACGUGUGUUGUGCUUUUUUAUCACUGUUAGCAUUAAGUUUACCUUACUAACAUAUUUUUUUCUUUCACCGUUAGUAUUGAGUUUUUUUCACCAAUGUGUGCUGUGUUUUUUUAUCACCGUCAGCAUCGAGUAUAUCUCACUAAAAUAUGUCAUAUUUUUUUAUCAUCGUUAGCAUCGAGUUUAUCUCACUAACGUAUUUUUUCUUUCACCAUUAGCAUCGAAUAUAUCUUACUAACGUGUGUUUUAUUUUUCUAUCACUGUUAGCAUUGAAUUUACCUCACUAACGUGUUUUUUCUUUCAUCGUUAGCAUCGAGUUUUUCUCACUAACAUGUGCUGUGUUUUUCUAUCACCGUUAGCAUCGAGUUUAUUUCACUAACGUGUUUUUUCUAUCAUCAUUAGUAUCGAAUUUAUUUUACUAACAUAUUUUUUCUAUUAUCGUUAGUAGCGAGCUUAUCUCACUAACGUGAUUUUUUAUUAUUGUUAGUAUCAGAUUCAUCCCACUAACGUGUCUUCCUACUUCCGUUAGGUUUGGAUUUUAUCCCAUUUACGAUAUUUUAUUUUGAAACAUUUUGAACUAAUCACUUUGUUUUGCAUGACAAUAAGUGUGUUGAACUAAUCACUUUAUUUUGCAUGACAAUAAAUGUGUUGGACUAAUCCCUUUGUGUUGUUUGAUUUAGUUCGCCAUUGGAAUAACGCAAGUAAGUAUUUUGGUGUCUACGCCUUUGUCUUGAGUUUUCUCGAAACUCAGACAAAGAGGGGCAAGUUAUAGAUACCAAAAUUUUAAUGUUUAUUUAAUUCAAUUUUAACUUUAUUCUUUUAUUUUUAUUUUAUUUUAUUAUUAUUUAUUCUUGUUUUCAUUAUUUUAUUUAAGGUAGCAAAAUAGUAAUUGAUGUAUGUUUUUAUUUUGGUACAUUAAGACUCAUCAUUUUCUUUUCUUUUUAAAACAUUUUUUGCACUAAAUUUCAGAAAAAAAUUUCUUAAUAAAAAUCCAUUUUUAUCUUUUUCAAACUCAGUUUUUGCUAAGUGAAAUGACAUUUUGUAAGGUAAUUAAAAAUUAGCAUUUAUUUAUCAUAAAUUGGUUUUGAAAAAAAAAUACAAAAUCAAAAAAUAAUAUGAGGCACACAUGCAAUAGGGCCAACUGGGGUACAUGCAAAAGGGACAAGUGUCCCUAUUUUUCUUUGGACACCACAACAAAGAAAGGGGAUAGGUGGCAAGACAUUUGAAAGUUUAGGAAAAUUUGAAAAAAAAAACAACAAGAAAAAGGGGAAAGGCUUGGCGGCUGGUGGGGGGGAAAAAGGGAGGAAACCAAGCAAGAAAAGGCUACGAGGAAACUAGAGAAAAAGGCAAGAAAGAAACAAGAGAAAGGAGAGGCCGAGAGAGAAUUUUUUCAGCUAAAGAGAGAACUGAACAAAAAAAAAGGGAACCGAGAGAAGGAAAAAGAGAGGGUUUCGGAGGGGAAGGGAGAGAGAGGAACCAAGAGUGAGAGAAAGAGGGAAAGAAUGGAAAGUAUAUCUCUGGUUUUCCUCCUUCCAGCCAUAACCGAGAAAGUAGGAAAGAGAACAAGGAGGAAAAAGAGAGAAAUCUGGUGCUAUUCUUCGAGAAGCAGAGGGACAAGAAGGUACCGCCACUUCACUGGAAUCACCAUCAUCGCCGACAACCAUCACUAGAAGAGCACAGUAAUGAUUUCUGUCUCCCUUCUUACCUUUAAUUAUUGUUAGCAAACAUCUGGAAAUGAGAGUUGUUGGCCUGUUGGUUCCUCACCUCUUGCUUCUAGUAAAAAUUUCUUAUUUUUCUCUGAUGUUUAUCUAUGUUAAGAUAUAAUUUUUGUUGGUGAUGGGGGGCUUUGUUGGGGUAUGCUAUUGUGCAAUUAAUGGAGUCGAUUUAAUCUCACUAAUACAUCUGACAUGUUUAAGGCUGCGACGUAAAUUUAAGCCAAGGAAAUCAGCCCGGUGAAAUUCAGUGUGUAUGUGAGAAGAGAACCCAUGAGUGUAGCCGGAAAGUUGAGAGAGACAGUCUAUUUGCUACUGUUUCCUUGCACUUUUUCUACGUUUUUACAGUCCCAAGUUAAUUCAUUUUUGCUGUUUACUUGCAUUUUUAGGUAUGACAGCAUCUGAUGGUUCUUUCUUUGCCUAUCAUUUUGUCCCUAGAACAUUAUUUCCUCCUCCUAAAAGUGAGGAACUUGUCUAAUGUUUGGUGUUGGCUGUAUGCUGUGUGCAUGAGUUUGUAUACAACGUCUUGGUUCCUCUCUGUUUUAUGGCAUGAUAGCGCCAAUCCAUACAGAAAUUCAGUUUUGAUAACUUGCUAUGCUUAGGGACAAAAGUCAUUAGCUUUCUUUUCAUGCGUGAAACAAGAGGGAAGAGAAUCAUGAGUUUUGGGGCUUAUUGUCUGGUGCAUUUUUUCUGAUUCGGGUCUUUGGUUGCUUUGUUUUCUGAAAAUUUUGGGUCAAAGUUUAGCAAAUGUUCAGGCCACUUUGUUGCUUUUUGUGUCCAAAAGCUUGUUAAAUCUUUCCUCUCUCUCUUGUCUCAAGUUCUCGCAUUUUGCGGUUGAAUAAGUUAGGAUUUGCUUGAGUCACUUUGCAUGAAUAUGUUUCAGCUAAAUGAUAACAAGUUGUAGAGAGAAUGGUGGCUAGGAAAUUGCAGAAGCAUAAGCUUGUUCGAAGCUUUGCAUGAGAAACUUUCAAAAAUUACACCUUAACCCCUUAAUGUUUAUCUAUUUAUAUUAUGGCCCAAAACUUUUCUAAUUGAAUCAGUUUUACCCUUUCUUGACUUCAUGCUUUUUUUUCCCAUGUUUUAUGGUUCAUUGGGUAGAUUAAUUCUGGAAUUUAGAAUAGUUAGAGUUAAAUAUUAUUACUUAAUUUUUCUUUGUUUAAAUUUUGUAAAAAAAUAGUUUAGACUUGGGUAAUAUUUUUGUUUGGGGUUUAGUGAAAGGGGUUUUCGUUUAUAUUUGUGAUUUUUAUCAUUUGGAUUUGGUAGGUUUCAUCUUAAGCCCUUAAUUUUAAGUUAUUUCAUUUUAGAUCCCUAAUAUUUGUAAUAAUAAUGAUUUGACCUCUCAAACUUCUUUAAUUCUUUCAAUUGGGUCCUUGUUUAUUUUAAUUUGUUGAAUAUGGGUUGUUUACCUUCAUUUGAAUGCCUUGAUUGAUUCAAUUUCGUGUUUAUUUCCAUUUUUUGUGAUUAUUUGUUAAUUAAAGUGAUACCUUGACCUUUUUCUUUGUUUUGCAGGGUAAAUAAGAAAAUUUGCCUUCAAGGGAGGUACACUCUACUUCUUUAUUUUAAUUUUACUUGAUCCUAUGUGCUCUUAUAUAAUUUUAUGUGUGUAAUUGCAUGUUUUGUUUUGAAUGUUUUUAUUUCGUCUAUUUACUUAUUCAUUUCAUUUGUUUUAAUUUUGUAUAUUCAUUUUAAUUUAAUUUUUGGUUAUUGGAGAGGCAUUAAAUGCCAAAUUGUAAUAGUUAUGUUAUCAUUUCAUUUCAUUUCAUCCUCUCCCCUUUUAGAUUAUAGUCAGAGCCCCCAAAUGUAAUAGUUAGGUCUUUGUUCGCUUUAUUUACUUUGUGUAUCUUGCAUGUUUGUGUGUUUACAUGUUACUCACUUUCUUAGGAUCUCGCAUCUAAAUAUCAUGCUUAUGUGCUACGUGCUAUAUGUGAUUUAUGUGUUUAUUUGCUUUUAUUAUGUUUUAUAUGAUUUAUUUGAUUAUAAUAAAUGCAUGACGUCACCGCACUAGUCCAACGCUAGUUGUGACUCUUUUUUUUCAAUUCCACACUAGUCCAACGCUAGUUGUGACCCUUUUGUCCGAUUUUUCACUAAUCCAAUGCUAGUGAGAACUUAUAGACAUGGAUUAGUCCAAUGCUAGAUCCUUAGAAAUCAUCCACGCGCUAGAUCAUGUUUGUGUGACAAUCACUACAUUUUCAUGCAUAUUUUUUACUUUUAGGGUUUUUUUUAAAUUUUGCAUGACAUUUUCCUUAUAUGUAUAUCUCUUAUCCCAUAUUCCCACUAUAUGUAUGUCCCUUAUUCCAUAUUUCUCUUAUAUGCAUAUUCCUUAUCCUUAUGUGUGAAACAUGACAUAUAGACUUGCAUUCCAUUUAAAAAUUAGAACUAAGUUAGAUCAUUUGCUUGAUUAGAUAGGAGAAAUAUCCCUCGAAUAUGGGAUAUGAACGAGAUGAUUUUUUAGUCUUAGCACGCUCGUAUUCCCUCUAUAAAAGAGAAAAUCUAGUCGUGAAUCUUAGUUCCCCGCACCCAUUAUGAUGCAUUUUUUUAGGUCAUGUAUAUCUGUAUAUUAUUAUUUUCUUUUCUUAGAGUCUCAUAUUUUUGCAUAUUCGUGACCUCUUCAAAGAGUCACUCUUGGGCAUCACAAUUAAUGUGAUUUACAUCAAUUAAGUUUUGAAGAGAUAUUCCGAUCCCCCGAUAUCCUCAAAGGUUUAGGUUUUGCAUCCAUAUAAUGACAUCCAAAUGCGAUGAAUUCUUAGGUUAAAAUAAGAAAAUUUUUGACUAAAUCACGCAACUAACAUUGACUAAGUUAAAAGGGUGUCUUGGAUUUUAUCCUUACCUUCCCUUUUUUCAAAUGUGACUCCCAACCCUUUUUCUCUUGAUUUUCGCAGACUUAGAGUCGUUUAAAAAGAGUUUUCUCUAUUUUUUCUUUAAAAAAUUCAUUUUAGGUGACUUGAUACACCUUAACUCAAUACCAAGUGGCAACUCCUAUUUUUCAUUAAAAAUCCUUUUUAAACUAUUAUUUUUGGGUCAAAAUCGUCACACUUUUUAGUCCCAUUUAGGCUCAUUUCUUUCUUUAUUUUCUAAAAAUCAAAAAACUCAUUUUUCAAAUAAAAAAAUUAAUCAAAAAAUUCAUUUUUUGUAAAACCUGUAAUUUUACUCAUUAUUUUUCAUUUAAAAAUGGGGCACGACACCACCAGCCAUAGGUUUUGAAAUUUUCAGUUAGUUUAAUUUGAGGGGGGUAAGAGUAGAGCCCAUCAGGAGCAUCACCAAUAGGAGGUGAAUAAGAACCAGAAGGGAGCAGGAAUGGGCCAUAGAUCAAAUUAGGGUUGUAAGGAUUUUGGGGAUUAGAAGAAGGAGAAGAAGAUAAGGGUUUGAGACAACAGUAGGAGAGGAUAGUGAAGAGUGAUUUGCUAUUUUUUUAAAAAUUAAUCAUGUGAUGUGCAUGACUAAUUCCGGCAAAAAUUCGAAUAGAAAAGUGAUCAUGGACCAAAAUUAAUCAUUUUUAUUUGUUAGGAACUAAAAUUAUUCAUUUUCAUUCUGAGGGACUAAAUUUUCUUAUCAAUGAUAUAUGAGGGACAAUUGGUGCUAUUUUCUCUAAAUAGUAGGACAAAUUUUAACGCAAUCAAACAUGUGCAAUGCACAUGAUCUUUCCUAGUGUUUCCAAAAUAUGUAAGUGACAUACCUAGAUUUGCUUGUGUUAUGCAAAUGUGGUUAUAUGUUUGAAAUUAAAGUUUUGAUUAGAGAUAUAUUUGUCUUAAUUUUGUCUUCUGUGAGUUGGGAGUUCCUUGAAAUUAACUUUGUUUGCUUCACUAAAGGAAUAAGAUUUUAGAAAUGCGAGAUCAAGGCAUAGUAGAUGUGUUUAUUGUUAAUGAAUUAAAGUAGCAAGAGAAUGCAAUUAUUGUGUGAAGAGAAGGAAAUUAUGAGGAAAAGUAUUCAUUAUCAAACAUUUGAAGGACUAGAAUUAUUUUUUAUGAUGUUCAAACUUUGAAUUUCAAGGUAGAAAAUGUAUUAAAAGCCGAAUCUUCCUUUUAUGUUGCAAUUUGAAGGAAAAGUUUAAUGUUGAUUUAACUUAGUUUGUAACACUAACAACAAUUAUCAUGUGUAACAUACUUGGACCAUGACUAGUUCAGUUGAAAUACUAGACAUUCUUAUUAUUUGCUAUCAAGUUACCAAAAAAUUUUAGCCAAUCAUAUACUUUUUAAUAGUGGACAAAUAAUUUCUAAACAAGUAUUAUUGUCUCGACUUUACAAUUUUGUAUCAAAUGCUAAUAAUUUCGACUUAAUCUUUAUAUGAAUUAUGACUAAUAUUCCUGUAAUUAAAAUUUACAACUUAAGACAUGUUGGAAUUUAAUUUGAAAGCUUUUGAAGUUUUAUGAAUAAUGUAAACAAUAUCCAAAAUGUAAUCAAUUUAUAUAAACCCUUUCUAAGAGAAAUAUGUAAAACAAAAUAUCAAAUAUAUAAAUAGCAUGAAUUUUUUUUAUCCUCCUAUCUCUCCCAUGCCCUCCCAAUGCACAAUUUACCCUCCUACCGCUCCUAUGCCCUUCCUACACCCAACUACUGAGAAUAGGAUUUGAACACUGAAUCUAGUAGUGACAAGAAUUCUAACAGUCCUUCCUUAGUUACUAGAUAGGUAGCAUAACUAAACACUAAAAAUUCAGCAAAAAUAAAAUACAAAUAUUUUAUUUUAUGUCAUUAGGACCAGAACAAACCAAGAACUUCAAAAUAAGAGAUGAAAGUACUGACCUAAAGAAAAUGAGAUUUUACAAUAGCAAAUUUCCCAUGACAUAAGAACCAACUAGCAAUUAUCCUAACAUUAGAUGAGAAAACAUAAACUCAAAAUUAACAAAAUAAAUGAAAAUUUUUGAAAAUGUAUAGUAAGGCUGCUCGGGGAAGAAAGAACCUACUGCAAAAGAAAAGAGCAAAAUCAAUGACCAAAUCCAAAAUUCCUACAAAAAAAAGAAAGAAAAAAAAAAGCUAUAUAGCAAGUAAAUGACUCAUAGACCAUGAUGUUGAAAUGACAACAGUAUGAGCAAAAGGUGAAAUAAGUAGAAUAUGAGGUUUGUAACUUCCUAGUCAAAUGGCUGCAAAAAAUUUUUGAAUGUUGAAUUGGAUUAUAUACAUUUAUAUCCUCGCAAUUAGAAAGAAAAGGAAAUAAUUGACCACAAUCAGCCUAUAAGGGUGUAAAUGAGCUUUCUAAGUAUAAUUUUGGAAGACUCCUAGAGACAAAACUUAUUAUAAAAUGUAUUACAUAUCUAAACACACCAAAUAUUAAAUCAAUUGUAUUGCCAAUGAAUUGUAGUAAUUGAAAAAAAGAAUUUCUCCAAUUUGGAAGUGAUCAACAACUAAAACUAUAUACAUAUAAAUGGAUUAGAUUAGAGUUAAAAAUACAUAUAUACUAAAUUGAGGGAGGGCUAGGGAAGCGUUGGGUGGUUUGAAGGGAAAAAGUGUAAGUGAAUGGUUUCGAAUUAGAACCCUCGUACUCACACUAAAAAAAAAAUUAAAAAAAAAACCAAACUGAAUGGUCCAUCUUAGUGAUAAAGGGUUACACACUAAAUAAACUCCAAAACCAGCUCUUGUAGCAUUUGUACCAAAAGUUUCAAUAUUAGAUCAUGUGGGCUGCUAAAUUGUCAAAAUCUAUACCUUGAGAAAAAGACAGAAAAAAUCUUUACCUUAGAGCAAAAGUACUUUUUUGGUUUUAUAUCCUAACUAUACAUAUAAGAAGCACUUGCACUUUUU
rnacentral:lncRNA from 1 species